CCAUGACCCAAACACCACCCACCAGGUCUCACCUCCAACAUUGGGGAUUACAUUCCAACAUGAAAUUUGAAUGAGACAAACAUCCAAACUAUAUUACUGUAUAUUUUGUACCUCUACCUAGACAUUUCAACAGUAAGAAACUAAAUCACUGCCUUGUACAAUAAAAAGCUCUAUGUUGGGGUGAUCAGACCCAACACCAGGUCAUGGGGGCGAUGAGUCCGGUGGAGUCAAAGGAAUGAGAAAAAGACAGUUUGAGAGAGAAAGUGGGACCGGGGAGCCUACGCUAUUUAUUGGUGAUCAAACAAAGAAACAGGUGGUGAGGAUGUGGGGAUUGAAAGAAACUGGUGUAUCAAGUGAAUGAGAAACCUAUGGCUACUUGAGAUAAUGGGAGUGCUAGAAGCAAGGAGCUAGCAAGUCUAGCCGACAUGCAAGCCCUGCCUCAGCUUCUCUCCCAACACUCAGCUUUUCUCCCAACAGAUAUAUUUGAAACUUAACUUCAGAUAUACAUAUAGUAAAAUUGAAAACUUAUUAAAAUAACUUAUGAUUCA
rnacentral:lncRNA from 1 species